UUCACAGGAUUGUCAGUGUAAGAUGGAGUAUGGAGAGUGAAUAAUCUGCUGGAGAUAGAAAUCGGGUGGCCAACACUGGUCCUGGAGAGCCUGCGUCCUGCAGAGUUCAACUCUAAUCAAACACACCUGAACCUACUAAUCAAGGUCUAAGUGUUACUAGAAAGCUACAAGCAGCGAGUGCUGUUGGAGGCACAGCUUGACUCUGAUGUGAAGAGCUGAAUCAAGAGAAACAGAGGAGACUGAACACUGCCUCAGAGGAGAGUGUUCUGCAUGUAUUGU